UACGUAGGGUGCGAGCGUUGUCCGGAAUUAUUGGGCGUAAAGGGCUCGUAGGCGGUUUGUCGCGUCGGGAGUGAAAACCCAGGGCUUAACCCUGGGCUGGCUUCCGAUACGGGCAGACUAGAGGUAUGCAGGGGAGAACGGAAUUCCUGGUGUAGCGGUGAAAUGCGCAGAUAUCAGGAGGAACACCGGUGGCGAAGGCGGCUUCCUGGACAAAAACUGACGCUGAGGCGCGAAAGCUAGGGGAGCAAACAGG
rnacentral:rRNA from 1 species